GAAGUGCGAACCAAGCUGCGGUACAAACCGCGUGAGACUUGGAGCGGGUGCCCGCAAGGACACCCUGCA
rnacentral:sRNA from 12 species